AACGAUGAUCACUCGUUGUUGGCAAUACACCGUCAGCGACUGAGCGAAAGCAUUAAGUGAUCCACCUGGGGAGUACGACCGCAAGGUUGAAACUCAAAGGAAUUGACGGGGGCCCGCACAAGCGGAGGAACAUGUGGUUUAAUUCGAUGAUACGCGAGGAACCUUACCUGGGCUUAAAUGUAGAACGACGGACCGGGAAACUGGUCUUUCUUCGGACGGUCUGCAAGGUGCUGCAUGGCUGUCGUCAGCUCGUGCCGUGAGGUGUCGGGUUAAGUCCCAUAACGAGCGCAACCCUCAUCAUUAGUUGCCAGCGGGUAAUGCCGGGGACUCUAAUGAAACUGCCGCUGUAAACCGAGAGGAAGGUGGGGAUGACGUCAAGUCAGCACGGCCCUUAUGUCCAGGGCUACACACGUGUUACAAUGGUCGGUACAAAGGGCAGCUACCUGGCGACAGGAUGCUAAUCUCGAAAACCGAUCUCAGUUCGGAUCGAAGUCUGCAACUCGACUUCGUGAAGCUGGAUUCGCUAGUAAUCGCGCAUCCGCCAUGGCGCGGUGUAUACGUUCCCGGGCCUUGUACACACCGCCCGUCAAGCCAUGGAAGCUGGGGGUACUAGAAGUCCGUAGUCGCAAGGAGCGGCCUA
rnacentral:rRNA from 1 species